rnacentral:lncRNA from 1 species
GCAUAGUCACUGUAUAUUUUAAAUGUUAAAGAUGCACAUUAAACAACUUUUUUGAGCACUGUUACAAAGUGAAAAUCAUAGCAGUAACACAGCCUUAUGAGUAAGUUUCUAAUAGUACAUUUUAUUUCCAUUUUUAAAUUUGAGAAACCUCAAGUAAGGUAGCCUAACUGUCCCUUUGGGAAAGUUGAAACUAAAAUCAGGAUCUGCGUUUUUCACCUUUGCAUAAUUGAGCUCAAAACCAAAUCAUUUCAGCUUGAUGUGCAAAUGUUCAAUCUUUAAACUGUGGUGACAAAUGCACAGUAGACUAGGCACUGGGAAAUCUAAGUUCUGACCUUUAGCUAAUUGGGUAAGUCAUAGAAUCAAAUCAAAAGCAAAAAGAGGCUUGAGUAUCAAAGGUAGACAUCCAUUCUGAUUGGGUUGAAUACUUAACACUUCUAACAUAAUUGUUCUAUUUUCAAACAGUUUAAGGGUAUGAUGGAAAUUUCACAUCGCCCUUUCAAGCCCAUUUUUAUUU